AGAAUAAGGCUCAGUGGUAGAGUAUCUGCUUUGCAUGCACAGGGUCCCAGAUUCAAUCCCUGGCAUUCCA